rnacentral:lncRNA from 1 species
UUUUUUAAUAUUUGCAUUUCCACAAUUAUUCAAAAUAUACGGCUGCCUGCAUUAGUACGUGACCUAAUUUUGACAACACCCAAUUUUGGGUGGACACGUGGACUUCUCCAAAUACAAAGACUUCACAUUCUGACCAAAGUUGUUGAGCUUUACGUUAUCAAAAAAAAAUUCCUAGCUUAGUAAUUCUCAAAAAAAAAAAAAAAAACAACCUAGCUUACGUGGCGUGUAGACCCAAAAAUUGAAUUUCAAAAUAAUAAAAAAGUUGACAACUUGUGUUUGUGUAUAAAUAAGACCUCAUGCAAAAUGGUUUGUUGCAAACUGAUAAACAGCC